rnacentral:rRNA from 1 species
UGGGGAAUUUUGGACAAUGGGCGCAAGCCUGAUCCAGCCAUGCCGCGUGCGGGAAGAAGGCCUUCGGGUUGUAAACCGCUUUUGUCAGGGAAGAAAUCUUCUGAGUUAAUACCUCGGGAGGAUGACGGUACCUGAAGAAUAAGCACCGGCUAACUACGUGCCAGCAGCCGCGGUAAUACGUAGGGUGCAAGCGUUAAUCGGAAUUACUGGGCGUAAAGCGUGCGCAGGCGGUUUUGUAAGACAGAGGUGAAAUCCCCGGCUCAACCUGGGAACUGCCUUUGUGACUGCAAGGCUUGAGUGCGGCAGAGGGGGAUGGAAUUCCGCGUGUAGCAGUGAAAUGUGUAGAUAUGCGGAGGAACACCGAUGGCGAAGGCAAUCCCCUGGGCCUGCACUGACGCUCAUGCACGAAAGCGUGGGGAGCAAACAGGAUUAGAUACCCUGGUAGUCCACGCCCUAAACGAUGUCAACUGGUUGUUGGGAAGGUUCCUUCUCAGUAACGUAGCUAACGCGUGAAGUUGACCGCCUGGGGAGUACGGCCGCAAGGUUGAAACUUAAAUGAAUUGACGGGG